AUAAAAUACCAUUUUCUCUAUCCCCUCAGCUGUUGAAUGGUUUCUGGUUUUGUUUGUUUGUUUGUUUGUUUGUUUUCAUUUGUUGGUUUUUGUUUUUGUUUCUGCUAUUGUGAAGCCCUAGGCAUGAAGUGCAAAUAUUCCUGUGGUAUGCUGACUUCCUCCUUCAGGAACGUCUUCCAGAGAUUGCUAAGGACACAUGUGUUCCACAUGUCAUCUUGGAAAUGUUGAACUAAACUUGCAACCCUGAGAUGAAACCAUCUUAGUCAUGGUGUCUGAUCAGAAGUACGUGUAAACCACAUACAUAAGAAAAAGCAGCCUUUGGGGUGAGGAUGUGCUGAUGGCAAAGCGGAGAAACGCCCUUUGAAGCUUUUACUGUCGACAUGAACAGGUCAUGCUUAAUAUUAAACCAUAUAAAAGUCACUUUGAAGAACAACAGAGAAAGUUAAAAUUCUUAUGAAACUGAAGACAGGGGAUGCUGAACUGCCACUAAUUUGAAUCCUACCUUCGUGGUGACCUCAGUGUUCCUUCUGCUGGGAGCACUCCCUCGAGUGAGGAUCUGACUGGCAAGUCGGGAAGAACAGUCCCUUAUCUCCACAGAAGCCUGGCUGAUUUUGAAGGCCACCUCUCUUUCAAGCUUAAAGUAUAUAUAGGCCGGCCUAUGCUUUAAGAGAAUUGUGAAGACCAGCCAUUGAUGGUGGCCCGUGCAGUAAUCCGUAGCGAUGAACCAAAGGUCAGCCUAGGCUAUAAAAUGAGGCCUUACUUCAGAACAAAAAACCUAGCCCAAAAUGUGGAGUGUGUAGUAGCAGUAGGGGACUGUACCCCUGGAUUAUUCAGACCCCCCAAGGCUUUGCUCUCAGCAUAAGGGAGACUUCAGCAAUAUAAUUCUGGCUGAACCAAUGCUUUUCAACGGGCAGUUGGAUCUCAGGGGACCUGCAUAAUCAACAACCUCUGGCCAAAGACAAACUCAUCAUCCCAACUAGAGAAAGGGUUGCUGAAGAUGUAGAGCCUUCUUUGAGACUAAAGACAAUGCCAACUAAUUGUUUAACUGAUUAGGCCAUGCUGAUAAUAGACUAAAACAUGGAAAGCUAUGCUCUGUGGAAUGGAUGAGCCUGGACAGCCACUCAUGAGAACAAGCUGUUACAUUGCUCCAAGUGACUAUGGUUAUCUCUGCCACAGAAAACAGGAACCAGCAAGCCCCUAGCUCUCAAAUGUCAGGGCUCUCAUCCUCUUACAAGAUCUCUACUGGAAUCUUUAUUGCACAUGGAAGAAGCCACACUGAAUUCUGGUUCAGUGAUGGAUUCUGGUAGUGAUGCCAGAGUGUGAAUUCUUUUUAAUAAAAGUGUUCUGC
ensembl:processed_transcript Platr8 pluripotency associated transcript 8